UGGGGAAUUUUGGACAAUGGGCGAAAGCCUGAUCCAGCAAUGCCGCGUGUGUGAAGAAGGCCUUCGGGUUGUAAAGCACUUUUGUCCGGAAAGAAAUCCUUGGCUCUAAUACAGUCGGGGGAUGACGGUACCGGAAGAAUAAGCACCGGCUAACUACGUGCCAGCAGCCGCGGUAAUACGUAGGGUGCAAGCGUUAAUCGGAAUUACUGGGCGUAAAGCGUGCGCAGGCGGUUUGCUAAGACCGAUGUGAAAUCCCCGGGCUCAACCUGGGAACUGCAUUGGUGACUGGCAGGCUAGAGUAUGGCAGAGGGGGGUAGAAUUCCACGUGUAGCAGUGAAAUGCGUAGAGAUGUGGAGGAAUACCGAUGGCGAAGGCAGCCCCCUGGGCAAUACUGACGCUCAUGCACGAAAGCGUGGGGAGCAAACAGGAUUAGAUACCCUGGUAGUCCACGCCCUAAAACGAUGUCAACUAGUUGUUGGGGAUUCAUUUCCUUAGUAACGUAGCUAACGCGUGAAGUUGACCGCCGGGAGUACGGUCGCAAGAUUAAAACUCAAAUGAAUUGACGGGGUCAUAGCUGUUUCCU
rnacentral:rRNA from 1 species